AAGCUAUUAACAGAGGCAGCCUCCCUAAUGUCUCCUCCCAGUCAUUCUAGGUCCCAAGAAGCCAUGUGUCCCCCAUGAGGACUAUGAAGGUCAGGGCCUGAGUCUAUCAGGACAGAAGCCAGAGCUGUGAAGACUAUACUUGGAGGAUCCAACUACUCCCACAAUAGCCAGGAGGCAAAACAGGGAAAGCAGAGGAAGAAGGGGCCAUAUCGGGCUUGUAGCUGGUGGUCUAGACACUACGAACGUGUCUCUAGAUAUCAUCAUGGCCACCUAUCCAGAUGCCUCAAUCCAGAGACUCUAAGCCGAAGACAUAAGCUCACAGUCAAAUCAAAUAAGGAAAGGGAUGCAUAGCAAGUUUAAAUAUCUUGCAGAAGGACACACAGUUUGCAAGUGAAGGAGCUCUAAUUCGAAGACUGGUGGUCUGCAUCCAGAGUUGAUCAUCCUAAAUACCAUGCUGAACUGGUUGCUCCCAAAGACUGAACAGUAUUUUUUACAAUAAGAUAUUCAUUUGUACGUCAACAAAUAGUUGCCAAUUCUUUGUAAAAUAAAAUACAAUGAACUGAAUAAAAUUUAAUACAUCAGAGUAAAUUUUACAUAGAAAAGUAUGUAUUAUUUUCUUUUAGUUAUGCAAUUCCACUUAUAUGAGCUAUCUAGUGUAGUCAAACUCACAAAAACAGAAAGUAAAAUAGUGGGCUGGGGGAAG
rnacentral:lncRNA from 1 species